UACCCUCAUGCACAAGGAAUGACCCUUAAUGACUCAAUCAGUCCUGCUUGAUGUUUCAGCACAGAAGACAGUGCUGUAGAAAGGACAAGUAGACACAAACAAGGGUAGAUCUGUUGGGAGUGGAGGCUGCAGAGAUGCUGGGCAGACAAAGCUCCAAUAAAAUGCCAGACUUGAAAGUAAAUUAAUUCUAGUCCUCACUGCGACUCAGUUUUUCUUGCUACUUGAUAUAUCUGCUUUUGCUAUAGAUUAUAUUCACCUCCAUGUCCCAGACAUAACAUAUUGCUUGUGCAGUAAAGGAGCACUGGGUACCCUCAUGGAUCAACAUAUCAAAUGUAAUGGAUUUGCUUCACUGCUGGGAAGUCUUUCUGCCUCCUCAGAUUUACUCCAACAUUCGCCACAUAAUUCAAAUGAAAUAAACCCAGGUGACCCUGUCUCUAUUGCAUCUGAUUUCCUUGCAUUGCUAGUCUUACAUUUCCGAUUUUACUAAUGUAGUAAUAACCCACCCAAAUAAUUGUAGCAAUGUCUAACAGAUAAAAAAAAAGUUAAAUAUCUCUCUUCUUAUCCCAAAGAUAUUUUGCAAA